GAUGAACGCUGGCGGCGUGCCUAAUACAUGCAAGUCGAGCGAACAGACGAGGAGCUUGCUCCUCUGACGUUAGCGGCGGACGGGUGAGUAACACGUGGAUAACCUACCUAUAAGACUGGGAUAACUUCGGGAAACCGGAGCUAAUACCGGAUAAUAUAUUGAACCGCAUGGUUCAAUAGUGAAAGACGGUUUUGCUGUCACUUAUAGAUGGAUCCGCGCCGCAUUAGCUAGUUGGUAAGGUAACGGCUUACCAAGGCAACGAUGCGUAGCCGACCUGAGAGGGGGAUCGGCCACACUGGAACUGAGACACGGUCCAGACUCCUACGGGAGGCAGCAGUAGGGAAUCUUCCGCAAUGGGCGAAAGCCUGACGGAGCAACGCCGCGUGAGUGAUGAAGGUCUUCGGAUCGUAAAACUCUGUUAUUAGGGAAGAACAAAUGUGUAAGUAACUAUGCACGUCUGGACGGUACCUAAUCAGAAAGCCACGGCUAACUACGU
rnacentral:rRNA from 1 species